CCCCGCCCGGCAGGGGAAAUGAAGGGAGGGUGGUGUGAGAGCUUCUGCCAGGGGCAGAAGGACACCGAGGGACCGCAAGCAGAGCCGAGGGAGUGCGCGCUAGCCCCGGAAGAGGGAUUUUUCAUGGGCCGAUCUGCUGAAUUCAGCCUAGGAGCUGAGACCAACAUCUGAGUCUCUUCAGCACACAAGUUUGAAAGAAGUCCUAGCAACUUCAAGCUCAGAACUACGGGUGGCAGCAGCUCCCUCUUGACGUCGAAGCCUCCCAUUCCAGAGAGAGUCAAGGCCUGGAUCAAACAAAGCCCACAAGCACCGAUGACUGAGCUGCUGACUACCCCCAGCAUCUCCAACUCAACCUCCUCUUUCUGCCUCUACCCAAAUUUUAAAACUUUCAAACAUGGGUUUAAAAAUGGUAAUGAGUAAAGUUGCAUCCAAGUGUAUCAAAUAAAACUAAAUAUCCA
rnacentral:lncRNA from 1 species